CAUUAGAGAGGGAAGUACAUCGGGAUCUUUCAAACCUGAAAAUACUGAGCUCAUAGGAGCAAAAAAUAGAACAGUUAUCAAUGGGCUGGAGAUUGACUUCCUGAUAUUUUCUUUAAGAAAAUACAUACCAAUGUUUUAAUGCCAAAGUAGCAAGUAAAAAAUAUUCUUUAAGACAACAGCUGGUGCACAACUACCAAUCUAUUGAGGAUUACUAAAAGUAGAAGAAUAAAUCCCAGCUUUUAGAAGUCAUAAAAGAAAGAGAAGACAACUGGUAGAGUCACAAUAGCUGGCUCUUACUGACCAGAGCAGUGGGAAGAGAAUCAUUUUAUUUGACAACAAAAUUACCACCUUUACAUCUACAACCACCCAGGCCCAGGACGCAUUUCCCACUCUGUCAUUUGAGGGGAGGUGGUAGGUCCAGGGAGGUUCCUGAAAAGUGAAGAUGAUGAGUACUGAAGAAAACAAUGCUCAUGUGACCUUCAGAGGAGAACAAGAGCCUAGGAAUGAAGACACCCUGCCUGUACAAGGCAGGGGCUGAGCACUGUGUUCCCCACAGAAAAAGCAGACUUCAGUCAGUGGAGAAGCACUUCUGUUAAGUGUGGAAUAAGGUCAGAAAUUCCAUUUCUGCUCUCACUCCUUCCUAGCCUAUGAAAUAACUUACAGCGUUGCUGAGAUUAAACAGAAUAAUGUCAUA